AUGGCCAUGGGCGCAGCCUGAUGCAGCCAUGCCGCGUGUAUGAAGAAGGCCUUCGGGUUGUAAAGUACUUUCAGCGGGGAGGAAGGGAGUAAAGUUAAUACCUUUGCUCAUUGACGUUACCCGCAGAAGAAGCACCGGCUAACUCCGUGCCAGCAGCCGCGGUAAU
rnacentral:rRNA from 1 species